GAUUUGCAAAUGGAAUAUUGGUCUUGAGGGCAAUCUGGAAUCUUGAGUUAAUUAGGAACGGGAGCAAUUAUCAUGAAGUCUAUUGAACUUGAUUAUUGUGGAUCUUCUUAAUGAGCGCAAUUGAGAUGUUUGAAGCACAGCUGAGAGAAACUACAAGCAAUUUGGAUUCAUCGUCAGCGGAGAAGGGGUUCUUUGGUGAUUAAUAAAUGGCUCUAUCUCCUGAAUCUCUUAAACUGUAAGAAUAUAAUACGCUGGCUUGCUAAAACUCUCAGUUGUUCCUACAUGGACUCUCCACUCUUUCUUAUUUCUAUUUCGAACACUCACGUUGUCUCCAUUACAACAUCUCCAGAGGCAAUUAAAAAAGUUUAAUGUUCUACGGACCUGUUGUCUGCUUGCUGUUCCCGACUGAAUUUGC